CACUUAUAUUUGUCACCGUUUAUUUAUUUAUUUUCUUUUUUCAACAUGUCAAAGCUGAACCAGAACACUCACUCUCUCUGUCUCUCUCUAGAAACGAACUGAGGAAGAGACACGGGGGGAGGGGGAGGAGAGAAGGGGGCUGAAGUCAGGCAGUGCACGAUUGUCGAAAAAUGACAUCGAGGGCUAACGAGAACGGCGAGCACAGAGCGCCCCGCCCACCACCGAGCCACCAUCACCACUACUACCCUCGGCCGUCGUCGUCGGCGUCCUUUAAGGGCUGCUGCUGCUGCCUCUUCCUCUUCUCCGCCUUCCUCCUCCUCCUCCUCCUCGCUGUCGUCCUCGUCGUCGUGCUCGCAGUGAAGCCCAAGAAGCCCCAGUUCGAUCUGAGGGAAGUGAGCGUGCAGUAUGUCGGCGUGAGCCCCAAUGCUCCGGCGACGUCGGCGGCCGACGGGGUGCCCACGGCGUCGCUGUCGCUGAACAUCGGGAUGAGCUUCACGGCGGUGAACGAGAACAAGGUGGGGAUCAAGUACGGGGAGUCGGUGUUCACGGUGAUGUACAAGGGGGUUCCUCUAGGGAGGGCGUCGGUGCCGGGGUUCUACCAGCCGGCGCAUAGCGUCCGGCGGCUCAACACAACCGUCGCCGUAGAUCGGGUAAACUUGCUUCAGCCUUACGCCACCAAUUUAAUGCAGGACGCUUUGGUCCGUGAUCGCGUGGAGCUCAGAAUUUUGGGCGAUGUCGGCGCUAAGAUCCGGCUCAUGGGCGUCACUUCGCCCGCCGUUCAGGUAUCGGUGGAUUGUACCAUUGCGAUAAGCCCGAAGAAUCAGUCUCUCUCCUACAAGCAAUGUGGAUUCGAUGGUCUAAGCGUCUGAUCUCAUCUCACCUCGCCUGAUCUCUGAUCCAGUAGCAAUAGCACUCCGUAGAAGUUAGAAGACUAUUAUACUAAUGGAGAAGCGAUGUAGUAGAAGAAGAAGGUAGCAGCUAGGGAUCAAACCCCAUGCUCUGCAGCCAGCCCUUUUCCUCGAUCAGUCCAAGUGGACGGAACUGAAGGAUAGAUCAAAAAAAAAAAAAAAAAACCAGAAAUGAGGGAGGGAGAGAGGGAGGGGAAAUGGGAAAUUUUUCCCGCGAUUUUAUUUUAUUUUAUUUUGAUUCUGGGGUUGAGGAUGAUAUUGCUGUUUUUUUUUUUUUUUUUUUUGAGGCGGCUUACUUCAUUGCUAAGGGAAAUGCCAAACUGCUUUUUCCAUUGUAAAAUGUGAAGUGGGCAUGCGCCGAUGCUUUGCUUUGCUUUGCUGUUGUAUUUGAAAAAGAAACUUAAUAUAUUGAUUCCUGAAAGUGCAGAGGACAUAUAAUUCAAAUCCAUUCUCUC